GAUGAACGCUGGCGGCGUGCCUAAUACAUGCAAGUCGAUCGAACGGACGAGAAGCUUGCUUCUCUGAUGUUAGCGGCGGACGGGUGAGUAACACGUGGAUAACCUACCUAUAAGACUGGGAUAACUUCGGGAAACCGGAGCUAAUACCGGAUGAUAUUUUGAACCGCAUGGUUCAAAAGUGAAAGACGGUCUUGCUGUCACUUAUAGAUGGAUCCGCGCUGCAUUAGCUAGUUGGUAAGGUAACGGCUUACCAAGGCAACGAUGCAUAGCCGACCUGAGAGGGUGAUCGGCCACACUGGAACUGAGACACGGUCCAGACUCCUACGGGAGGCAGCAGUAGGGAAUCUUCCGCAAUGGGCGAAAGCCUGACGGAGCAACGCCGCGUGAGUGAUGAAGGUCUUCGGAUCGUAAAACUCUGUUAUUAGGGAAGAACAUAUGUGUAAGUAACUGUGCACAUCUUGACGGUACCUAAUCAGAAAGCCACGGCUAACUACGUG
rnacentral:rRNA from 1 species